rnacentral:ncRNA from 1 species
CCUGCUCGUGUGAACGCCACACAGCGGGCCGGUAUGUGGCCUGUGGCGCGACCGUGCGGCGGUCGUCGCCCGAGGGCUGAACCACCAA